rnacentral:rRNA from 1 species
CCCUGGCGGCACGCCUAACACAUGCAAGUCGAACGAAGUAGCAAUACUUAGUGGCAGACGGGUGAGUAACAUGUGGGUAUCUGCCCUUUGGCCUGGAAUAACACGAGGAAACUUGUGCUAAUACCGGAUAAGUCUUUACGGAGAAAGCUUUAUGCACCAUUGGAUGAGCCCGCACUUGAUUAGUUUGUUGGUGGGGUAAUGGCCUACCAAGACUGUGAUCAAUAGCUGAUUUGAGAGGAUGAUCAGCCUCAUUGGGACUGAGUCACGGC